rnacentral:lncRNA from 1 species
CCCUACCUCACAUACCUGUCUCUUGCCCUCUCCUAAAGGGCAGCCCACCUUAUUUGAUUGCAAAUUCCUGUCCUAAUGUGUUUUACACCCCACCUCCUAUAGAAUGUAAGCUCGAUUGAGCAGGGUCCUCUUCAACCUAUUGUUCCUGUAAGUUUAUUUGUAAUUGUCCUAUUUAUAGUUAAAUCCCCUCUCAUAAUAUUGUAAAGCGCUACGGAAUCUGUUGGCGCUAUAUAAAUGGUAAUAAUAAUAAUAAUAAUAAUAAU